CAAUGAUGUUAUAGUAAAAAGAGGUAGAUAAGUUACUUGAGUUCGUAAAGUGGCGCCGUAAAACUGAGCUAAUUAGCGCACUCAAGCUUAGUCUCGUGAAAGCAUUGGUAACGUUGACUGUGUUUUUUGUUCCGCGAAAUUUCUUUAAAAUGCCGUCCUGUGUUAAGCGACACUGUAGAAACUAUACAAGAAAGACUCCCAAAAGUCUAGGGAUGACAUGUCAUGCGAAAGUUUCCGGCAAAUGUAUUAAGAUGUAACCAAUGGAUAAAUAUUGUACGUAGACAAAGACAUGAAGAGGAUUGGCGGCCAAAUAAUAAUGAACUAAAUGAAAAUAAAAAAAUAAAAUUAUUUGUCCUUUGCUGUUUUAUUUCUUAAAAGAAUAGUCAGGAGUUCAUUUUAAAUAUAUCAAUUCUGCUUACUAAACCGUAGGCAUCAAAUAAUUUUAUGUUAGUUCUGUGACAUUUUAAUUGUUAAUCUAUGAAGUAAGUCGUGACAUCGCAACGACACUGCGUAAUAUAUAUUCGUCUUGUUUACGGUCUUGCUAGUUAGCAUGCUAUCUUUUUCACACAUUACAACCUUGUCAAGUUAACUCUGCUCACGCGGCUAUAUGAUAUUAUCAUCAACUAAUUGUCGAUUUAAUUCGUCCGCAUAAUAUCGUAUAGUUUAGUGUGUUUAUAAAUAUAUAUAGGUACAUACGCCGCGGACAAGCUUGACUUCGUAUUAGUACUAAUAUAACGUAUCUACCUCUUUUUACUAUAACAUCAUUGGGGUAAAUAUAUUACGACAUUAGAAUUUGUAAAAAAUAAAACAUAAUACAUUCAAGUCAAGAGACGAUAUUGAUGUACCGGUUUUAUUGUAUUGUAUUCGAGAAAAUUGGAUUUUAAAUAUGUCCAUUCAAAGAAACAGUAAGUAAGUACGACGAAAAGGUAAGAAAAGUAUUCUUCAUUUAAUUGAAAAAAAUGAAUGAGACUAUGACAUUUCUGACAAUACCACAGGUAAAAUAUUUCGAAGUGCACUUGAAAAACCACAUGAAAAAAAGCGGUCAAAAACAAUAAUUCAGCUUUGAAUUUAGAGUUACAAUGACGUAGACAGGGUUUUUUUUGAGACCAUUGUGGACAUCUACAAAAGCUUGAACAGGUUGGAACUUACAUUAUAUCGAGAUAAAUAUAUUUUUGAUGAAGUGCAAAAGUUCUUUGACGGAGUUUCGGUAAAUUUGUGAUUCGAACGUUUUAAACACAAUGGUGCGUGAAGGGUUUUGCACACAUGGGCCCAAUAUGUCCAUUGUGCUUUGUGAACUGAGACUAAUGAAUGUUGGUGUGAGAACCCGGGCUUGUACAUGUCCUUUGAACGUUUUUAUGUGAUUUUUUGUGAUAUCACGACAUCUUGUUAAAUAAUAGGUUAGGGAAAAAGUUUCUACACAUUUUUUAAGAAAAUUCACAACAUUUUUAAAUAUACAUACAUAGUUUAUUUAUAUUUAUAUUAUACCUAAAUGAAAUAUUUUACAUAUUCGAAACUAGAAAAAUGUGGUUGAAUUUUUACUCAAAUUAUGGAGUUUAAAUGUCAAUCAAAGGAAAAGUUAAUUACACUUUGCACUAGGUGAUUAAUUACAGGAAUAGUUUAUACAUAUCUGUUAUUGCUACAACAGGAAAUAGUUUUUAUUUUAUAAUUUAUCCUACAUCCUCGUGGCUUUACUUUCAAACCUUGUUAGCAAAUUUUCAAAUAAAUUUAAGUUAAACCAAAUAAAAUUUACGAUCGUAUUUACAGCGUAUUGCAAAAAUGAAUUGAAAUUAAAUUGACGUUGUAAUUGGGACUAUACUAGCUUAAACUCAAGGUUCAUCGGAAAUCUGGUAACCUUAAUACCUUGACGCGUAAGUCUAAAUUGCAUUUUUUUUAAAACUACUAUUUUACUGCCGUUUACAGAAAUAUGCAGAACGGUAGUGCCAAGCCCUGUGAGUUCACAACAUGCCCCACCCAGCAAUUACAAUAAGGCAUAAGGACGAAUUUUAACUUAGGAAAUAGAUAUUAUUCAUUGUUGUGGUAACGUUAAGCUCUGGUAAUGGUUUUAAGCUAUUACAUAGCUUCUAUAGCGGGCCUUGAGCGCGGCGAUUGAAUCAAGAAAUUCUGUAACGAAAAUAACCUGACACCCCCACUACGCCUACUAUGUAGCUCGCGUUCAACACAUUCACACGUUGCGCUGGUGUAGUGUUUGUGAAUAAGUGCGCGGCGUGAAGCCGCACUGCAUGAGCAUUAUGAAAAGUCUGUCCAUCUCUCUCUCACGCGGUCUAGCCUAUGAGUGUGAAGGGGACAGUUAAUGUUUUGCUUUUGUUAAUGUUCAUAAAUAUAGCGUGGUCUUAUUUUUAGUAUUGUUUUAAUAUUAAAUUAUUAUUGUCUAAUUGUAAAUGCAAUAAAUUGAUAAAAAAUGCUUUGCAAUUGCUUUACCGCGGCCGUCCCCGAGUGCCACACGUCUUUUUUUAAACCAGAAACGUUUGAAUUUUUACGUCUCUUAACGUAAAUAAAAUAAACAGUUUUCUACGCACAAUAUAUAUUCUUUUAAAUACAUAUUAACCUCUUCGAAAUGAUUUCAUGAAGUCAUCAUUGUACUUUUAAAUCAAUAACGCACGUAUUUAUGUGAUAAUCGGAAUGUUUUGACCAGCGAUACUUUGGUGGCGGUAACCUGUGACAAACCAGGGUAAGUCCACAGGCCACAUUAACCGAGGAAUCCUGCGAGUGAGAUCACGGGGGACAAAAGGACUUCUCUGUGACAGAGUUUUAUAUAAUUAAUAUGAGCUCUGUCCAGAACAACGAUGUUCACGGGAAACCAGAAAACAAGAUGAAUUGGCGAAACGUUAUCGGUCUACAACGAAAAACGAAAUUAUUUUACUGUAUUUUUAUAUAACAUGAUCUUUGUUACAAAAAUAUUAUGAAUUUAAUUAUCUCUCAUGGAUGUCGCGAAUGUCAGGGGCAGAGCCAAGCCGCUGCCUACCGCAAGUACUAGUGUGCUAAGAGUUUAGGAUCCUGUUACCUACCCAGGCUUUCGGUGCAUUGUCAGACCAGAACGACGGUACAAUAAUACUGUAUUGCUAUUAGAAGCGGAUGAAAUUUUAAUUUAAGUCCCCUCAUAGGUAAAACUUAGGUAAAGGUUACAAUAAAUCUUCUUUUCCGUCACCGUCAUCUCAACACUCACUCCUCUCUCUCUCUCAUAUCGUGAUUCACACACUCCAUCCAUGUCUUCUUCGGUCGACCUCUUCCCCCUCUACCUUGCACUACCAUUUCCUACAUCCCCUAGUCACAUGCAUCACAAGGUUAAAAUAAAUGAACUUGCCAAUUCACUAAGCUUAUUACAAUAUGGCAGUACAGUAGGCGGUGGAAUCGUUGAUAUUCAUGAGCAUCGGUGAUCGUUCACCAAUAGAGGAGCUGUCAGCCUUUUGAAACAGUUAAAAAGAGACUUAGCUCGUAACUUUAUUCUAAUCUCUUCGUUGUCGAGUACUGCGUAGCGCUGAGAAAAACAAAAUGCGUUUCUAUUAUGUCAUUGAAAUAGCAAUUUAAAUUUCGGACAUUGUAUACAACUCCAUCUAUUUGUAGUGCACACCCACUCAGGGGCUCUAUUGUCCUCGGUAAAUUUAACGGACCGAUAGAUAGGCUGAGAACGUCUCCAAUCUUCACAGUCCACAGGUAACGUUCUUGUGUUUCCCGACAGACACGGAUUAGGGGAUCUGCAAAAUGAAUGAAAUUAAAUAAUAAACUUUUUUUUUUUCAUAAAACGAUAUAUUAUUGACGGGAGUUAAUGAGUGUUAUGAAAGCCAUAUUGAUAACUGAUUCGGUGGUGCAGUAUAUAUUUAAACGUAUAUAAGUUUAUAUAUCAGUCACUGGUACCCAUACCACAGGGAAUCCUAAAUUGGGGCUGUAUGACCGAGUGUGAUUUGUUCCCAGUUAAAUGUAUUUAUAUAAAUUUAAAGGCCAGAGGACAUAAAAUCAUAAUAGUUCAUUUAGCUAUUAUUGAAACUAAGUCUUCUUCGUUGGCAAUGCGCAAUAGACGCAUCCUGAUGUUUUCCUAUUUUAACUUUUCGUAUUUCCUACUAAUUCCUAUUCCGAGUUCUUGUUGUGCGUAUUGUGACCCGACUUAGGACACAUGGCAUGGAUACAUUGAUGCUAAAAAGUGGCUAGUAUCUAUAAUUCAAUAUUCAUCAUACGAAAUUAUCGAGAACAAAUAACAUAGGAUCAUCUGGUCUCUAAUUAGAAAUAACCGUACUAAAAUAACCAGAGAGAUAUUUAUGUUAUUAUUAUAGGUUUAAUAAUUGCUCGUCAAACAAAUGUUUGGCCGAUGUGAGAAAAAAAGUCUCUGGGCCCAGCAGUUGAGAUAAAUAGGUUUUGUAUGUAAAAUAAUUUGUAAGUAGCGAAAUAUUCAGGUUAUUGCCAAAUUUGGAAAUAAAAUAAUUUAAUAAAAUUUGGAAAUUUUGAAUAACCUAUUUUGUUUUUUUCCGCAAAUUCGACAAAAAAUAUCCUAAAAAGUCUACGUUGGGAAAUCCCCUUAAUGUUUUUUAUUUGAACCCGGAUCGACUACUACAAUGAUUCAUCGCUCUCAGUUUUUUCAUAUUUUUUUUCUUCUUAAACCUAAUAAUUUAGAUUAUCUGAAUCCGUGCACGCUCCAACGUAAUGUUGAUAAUAAUACCGCUCUCAAGUUUAAGUCCGUGCUAUCAGAGCUAUUCAAUGUUUAUUGCAUCCUAUUGAAUAGGAGUCACUUGAAACGGCCCUUUCAGAAGUAAGCGCCACCUCGCCGGCCCUAUUCACUUUUUUUUUUCUUUUUUUUUGUUGAAUUUACUAGCGUAGUAACGUUUCGCUGGAAACAGGUUGGUGGUAACGCCGCGCCGGGUCUGUCACAGGUACAUUAUUUUUUUUAUGUCAUUCGCACAAGGAGCCUUGUUCAGGUAAGAUCCAGUGAAUUUGCGUAAUCCCCACACUACGAAACAUGUGACCGUUAUACCUAAUUAUGCCACCGUUAUUCAUUAAAUUGGAAUCUUUUUCACGUUUUGUUAUUUAUUAGUACUAUAUUAGUGGUGUAAUUUCAUAUCUUAACUUGAUUAAAGGAGGACCAAGGAUUAAGGACAUUUGGAGCACCGCCCAUAAUGAAGAUGAACGAGCUCGUCUCCUCGGCCAAGCUGUUCCCUCAAGAGAUCAAGUACGAUACCGAACAGAUACCCAAAGACACGGACCACCCGAAUGCAUUUUAGCAACUUGUUCACCUUAUCUUGUGCAGAAGCAGGAGCCUGCCUGUUCCCCAAAGUGACAGAAAACUUCCUAACUAAGGGCCAGAAAUGAAAAGCUUCAAUAGCUGGUCUCUCAGGGCCCCUCUGCAUAGGUGCGACGUUCGUCAACCUCAGGCGGCGUGUAUAUAGAAAAGCGAGUAAGCUGUCCCAUUCUUGUAGCAGUGCAGGCACGACAUCCCGUAGCUGCCGAGGCCUAAGACACUCAAACCUCCAAGGAUUCUGGUAGAGUGUUUCAAAGAGAUCUUCCAUCUAAUGAUCUGUGGCCGCGAAAUUCACCUUGCCGUCGGGUCUUCACUUGUACAAAUAUUGUCGGAUCUGGUCCUUCACCUGAAUGUAACUACACACGGAGCUGCACUAUUUAGUGUGGCCUCCAGUACGCCUGACUAUUGAGCCUCUCGGGGCCGAUCUGGGGCAGCAAUGAGGUAGCAACGAUGUGUCUCAGAAACACUCCGCUUUACCCACGAUCUCGACCGGGUCCAUACCUGUCCACGCUGCUCCAAAAAGAGUUUCAUCGGAAGUACUAGCAUUGGUUCAACAUGCGUUCUAGAUAAAGGAUAGUACAGACUAUAUUCCGACACGUCCUUACGGAUCCAUCAAAUCCAAUAACUUUUGCAUUAGACGCCUCCAGCUCUAACACUAGGUGCAGGCUUAGGGACCCCGGUAACCGUACUCGUUGAACUCGACAAAGAGUUCGACGUGCAACCUAAUCCAUGCAUCAGCCCGCUGAGUUUGUCGCCGGAUCGUCUUAGCGGGUCGUGAUUCCGAUCCGGCAGUAGAUUCAUUCGUGAAGCAGCUGCUCUUGAGUUGUUAGGUCUCCUUCGGAGGCGCUCGGGCAGCUGUUGACAAAUCCCACCCAUCUUGGCUGAGCCUUUGCUGGCCACCAGUAAUCCUUUAAUCAUAAAAAAAAACUGUAUUCCGAUGUUGUUGCAUUGAAUCACGUUAAGUUUGGAGUGAGCAGGUUUUCUAUUGCUCUCUGAGCACAAUGUAUUUAAAAAUAUUUAGGUUUUGUACGUAUAAUCAAUAAAGUAAAUAUUAAAGUAAAUAAUAUAAGUAUGUAUUCAAGUCUCUAGUUCCCUUUGUGCAGACAAUCUUAGUUUGGGGCCAGGUGACUAUGUAUCAUUUGUUUCCGAGUAUUUAUUCAUUUUAAUUGUAAAUACAAACAAAUUAUUAUAUGAGCUGUGAAUACAGAUAAAAGUGUGUGUUUUUUGGCUAGAGAAUAAAUACGGCAAUGUAUUUUUCUAUAUUAACAUAAAAUACAUGAUCUUAUUUCGAAACAUCGCUUGUCACACAAAGCAAAAAAGACGAUUUUAAUACUAACUACGUAACUACAUUAUUUUCAUUUUAAAUAUUACUCUUAUUUUGUUUAUUCUUCAAGAUGUUGAUGGAUUGUUCUUCAGUAACGUUAUCUAUUCUCGGAGUGUCAUUUACAGUUCAACGUCACUUAAGACGUAAUAAAAAAAAAGCUCUGUGUUUAUCGUGGAUGUCCAUUUAAUGGGAAAUUCGAAACGCAUUGAUUCUCCAGCCUCGUGUCUAGUCCGGAUCGUCUACCGAACAUUCCGAGAUAGUAAUUCGAUACUACUCCGACGUAUAAUAAGAAAAAACUAUGACGUUACGACCGACGCUGAGCGAAGAGUAAACAACGGCCUUGCAUCGACACUCCGGCGCCACCAAUAUUACUUCAGAUUAUUAUCGGAGCAGCGCCAAGAAUGUUGAAAUCAUUCAGGCCAGUAAGUGGGCAGAGGAAUUUGCCAUUCAUAUUAAAGAUGCCGUCAUAACAGAACGCUGGGGCUUUUGCUUCUACUGUUGUCUCGAAAUCUAUUUGUUAUUGCAAAUUUAUUAAUGAAUAUUUAUAUGAUAUAUUUAAAUUUCACUUUUUAUCGUGGUACCUACCGAAGAAAGUUUAACCGAGCUUCAAGCAGAUUAUCGUUAUACAUUAUAUAGAUAUUAAUAAUAGUGUAGAUAAAUAAACAAUAGAUUUAAACAUAAAUCAUUCAAAUAGUUUUUAACUGUAAGAUAAGAUUGAUAAAAUAUUUUAAACGAGCACCUUGGCAAAUGUCGCCGUCAUUAUGCCGAUUUGAGGAAAUCACCGGAUCCUUGAAAGAUCGAAUACCCAUUGCUCUCACAAAAUUGAGACUUUGACUUCUCAAGAUAUGCAGACAGUAAGUAUCAUAUCAAUGGAUUUCGAUGAUUGCUCACCACUAGCUGGAACGUGGACUCAUUUGUCCAUGUGAGCGAACAAAAAAGGAGAAUAUCUCCAGACUAAAAUUUAUAGUAACGAAUAUUCAUGAGUUUACAUUGGCUCCAUUGGAGUUGAUAUUUCGUAAAUAAUUGGAUGUUUAUUUUACGCUUAUUCUAUACUUGUGUACUUAAAGAUAACAAACAGCCUAUUUAUGUUUAAAGAAACUUUAAUUAUCGGUAAAACUAAAUUGUUUUCUGAUGCAAAAUUUAAAUAAUGUUGGUUGAAUUUUUUUAAAUUUACUUACUAAAUUAAACAGGUUUUCAGCAAUUUAAUAAACUCUACAAACAAUAAUACUCCAAAA